CACAUCGAAGGGCCAUAUGGAACCAAGUGGAAGCCUUUAAAACACUCCAUCCUGUUUGGGCAAGCACAAUCCCAACAAAGCCAUUGAUUGCCACAUGGCAGGUUGAAGUCCAUUACUCUCUCUGCAAUGGUCCUGCUGGCUCGUUCUGCAACCGUCAGCCAUCUUAACCUCACAUCGAAAGCGUUUGUUGGGCCACAGAGGAAAAAGAUAUAAAUAGCAACUGGCUUUGAAAA